rnacentral:rRNA from 1 species
AUUGAACGCUGGCGGCGUGCUUAACACAUGCAAGUCGUGCGGUAACAGGCGUAGCAAUACGUGCUGACGAGCGGCGAACGGGUGCGUAAUACAUGGGAAUCUGCCCUUUAGUGGGGAAUAACCCGGCGAAAGCCGGGCUAAUGCCGCAUAAGAUCUUCGGAUGAAAGCGGGGGAUCGUAAGACCUCGCGCUGAUGGAUGAGCCCAUGUCGGAUUAGCAGUUGGUGAGGUAACGGCUCACCAAGGCGACGAUCCGUAGCUGGUCUGAGAGGACGGCCAGCCACACUGGGACUGAGACACGGCCCAGACUCCUACGGGAGGCAGCAGUGGGGAAUAUUGGACAAUGGGCGAAAGCCUGAUCCAGCGACGCCGCGUGUGUGAAGAAGGCCUGCGGGUUGUAAAGC